CCCUUAGAUGUUCUGGGCCGCACACGCGCUACACUGAUACGUUCAACGAGCUCCUUGACCGAGAGGCCCGGGUAAUCUUUGAAACCGUAUCGUGAUGGGGAUAGAACAUUGCAAUUAUUGUUCUUCAACGAGGAAUGCCUAGUAAGCGCGAGUCAUCAUCUCGCGUUGAUUACGUCCCUGCCCUUUGUACACACCGCCCGUCGCUCCUACCGAUUGAACGUGCUGGUGAAGCGUUAGGACUGGAGGUCUUGGGCCGGUUCGCCUGCCCAUAGCUUCGGGAAUUUCGUUGAACCCUCCCGUUUAGAGGAAGGAGAAGUCGUAACA
rnacentral:rRNA from 1 species